rfam:Solanum tuberosum cultivar DM 1-3 516 R44 scf00035_110, whole genome shotgun sequence.
AGGAGCCGUAUGAGGUGAAAAUCUCACGUACGGUUCUGGAAUAGCGAUGGGCACAGUGAUGUUAUCAUCGACUAUGAU